rnacentral:rRNA from 1 species
AGCAUAUCAAUAAGCCGGAGGA